rnacentral:rRNA from 1 species
AGAGCGAACGCUGGCGGCAGGCCUAACACAUGCAAGUCGAGCGCCCGUAGCAAUACGGGAGCGGCAGACGGGAUAGUAACACGUGGGAACGCGCCCUUCGGUUCGGAAUAACUCAGGGAAACUUGAGCUAAUACCGGAUACGCCCUUACGGGGAAAGAUUUAUUGCCGAAGGAACGGCCCGCGUCCGAUUAGUUAGUUGGCGGGGUAAUGGCCCACCAAGACGAUGAUCGGUAUCC